rnacentral:tRNA from 1 species
GCCCGGGUGGCUCAGUCAGUUGAGCGUCCGACUUCAGCUCAGGUCAUGAUCUCACAGUUUGUGAGUUCGAGCCCCACGUCGGGCU